rnacentral:rRNA from 1 species
AGUGAACGCUGGCGGCGUGCUUAACACAUGCAAGUCGAACGAGAACGGAUUAUAGCUUGCUAUAAUUGUCAGCUAAGUGGCGGACGGGUGAGUAACACGUGAGAAUUUGCCUUUAGGAGGGGGGACGAACAAUUGGAAACGAAUGCUAAUACCCCAUAUGCUUUCGAGUGAAAUGGAUUUUAUCCGCCUAGAGAGAAGCUCGCGGCUGAUUAGCUUGUUGGUAAGGUAAGAGCUUACCAAGGCGACGAUCAGUAUCUGGUUUGAGAGGACGAUCAGACACACUGGAACUGAGACACGGUCCAGACUCCUACGGGAGGCAGCAGUGGGGAAUUUUCCGCAAUGGGCGAAAGCCUGACGGAGCAAUACCGCGUGAGGGAAGAAUGCCUAUGGGUUGUAAACCUCUUUUUUCAGGGAGGAAUAAAAUGACGUGUACCUGAAGAAUAAGCAUCGGCUAACUCCGUG